AGAGUUUGAUCAUGGCUCAGAGCGAACGCUGGCGGCAGGCUUAACACAUGCAAGUCGAGCGCCCCGCAAGGGGAGCGGCAGACGGGAGAGUAACACGUGGGAACGUACCCUUCAGUUCGGAACAACCCAGGGAAACUUGGGCUAAUACCGAAUACGUCCGUAAGGAGAAAGAUUUAUCGCUGAAGGAUCGGCCCGCGUCUGAUUAGCUAGUUGGUGGGGUAACGGCCCACCAAGGCUACGAUCAGUAGCUGGUCUGAGAGGAUGAUCAGCCUCACUGGGACUGAGACACGGCCCAGACUCCUACGGGAGGCAGCAGUGGGGAAUAUUGGACAAUGGGCGCAAGCCUGAUCCAGCCAUGCCGCGUGGGUGAUGAAGGCCCUAGGGUUGUAAAGCCCUUUCGGCGGGGAAGAUAAUGACGGUACCCGCAGAAGAAGCCCCGGCUAACUUCGUGCCAGCAGCCGCGGUAAUACGAAGGGGGCUAGCGUUGCUCGGAAUCACUGGGCGUAAAGCGCACGUAGGCGGGUUGUUAAGUCGGGGGGUGAAAUCCUGGAGCUCAACUCCAGAACUGCCCUCGAUACUGGCGAUCUUGAGUCCGGGAGAGGUGAGUGGAAUUCCCAGUGUAGAGGUGAAAUUCGUAGAUAUUGGGAAGAACACCGGUGGCGAAGGCGGCUCACUGGCUCGUAACUGACGCUCAUGCACGACAGCGUGGGGAUCAAACAGGAUUAGAUACCCUAGUAGUCC
rnacentral:rRNA from 1 species